AGAACGAACGCUGGCGGCAUGCCUAAUACAUGCAAGUCGAACGAACUCUUCGGAGUUAGUGGCGCACGGGUGCGUAACGCGUGGGAAUCUGCCCCUUGGUUCGGAAUAACAGUUGGAAACGACUGCUAAUACCGGAUGAUGACGAAAGUCCAAAGAUUUAUCGCCAAGGGAUGAGCCCGCGUAGGAUUAGCUAGUUGGUGAGGUAAAGGCUCACCAAGGCAACGAUCCUUAGCUGGUCUGAGAGGAUGAUCAGCCACACUGGGACUGAGACACGGCCCAGACUCCUACGGGAGCAGCAGUAGGGAAUAGUUGGACAAGUGGGGACGACGAACGU
rnacentral:rRNA from 1 species